rnacentral:rRNA from 1 species
GANGAACGCUGCUUUUGUGCUUAACACAUGCAAGUGGGACGGAAAGGCCCUGCUUGCACGGUACUCGAGUGGCGAACGGGUGAGUAACACGUGGGUGAUCUGCCCUGCACUUCGGGAUAAGCUUGGGAAACUGGGUCUAAUACCGGAUAGGAACCAUCUUUAGUGUGGUGGUUGGAAAGUUUUUUCGGUGUAGGAUGAGCUCGCGGCCUAUCAGCUUGUUGGUGGGGAAAUGGCCUACCAAGGCGGCGACAGGUAGCCGGCCUGAGAGGGUGUACUGCCUCAUUGGGACUGAGAUACGGCCCAUACUCCUACUGGAUGCAGCAGUGGGGAAUAUUGCACACUGUGCGCAAGCCUGAUGCUCCGACCCCACGUGGGGGAUGAAGGCCUUCUGGUUGUAAACUCCUUUCGCUUAGGGAAGGAAGCUUUUGUGGACGGUACCAGGAUAAGAAGCCCCGGCUAAAUACGUGCCAGCAGCCGCGGUAAUACGUAGGGUGCGAGCGUUGUCCGGGAAUUACUGGGCGUAAAGGGCUUGUAGGUGGGUUUGUCGCGUCGUCUGUGAAAUCUGGGGCUUAAUCCGGGGCGUGCAGGCGAUACGGGCAUAACUUGAGUGCUGUAGGGGAAACUGGAAUUCCUGGUGUAGCGGUGAAAUGCGCAGAUAUCAGGAGGAACACCGAUGGCGAAGGCAGGUUACUGGGCCAGUUACUGGCGCUGAGGAGCGAAAGCAUGGGUAGCGAACAGGAUUAGAUACCCUGGGUAGUCCAUGCCGUAAACGGUGGGCGCUAGGUGUGAGGGUCUUUCUACGACUUUCGUGCCGUAGCUAACGCAUUAAGCGCCCCGCCUGGGGAGUACGGCCGCAGGGCUAAAACUCAAAGGAAUUGACGGGGGCCCGCACAAGCGGCGGAGCAUGUGGAUUAAUUCGAUGCAACGCGAAGAACCUUACCUGGGCUUGACAUACACUAGAUCGCUGCAGAGAUGUAGUUUCCCUUUGUGGUUGGUGUACAGGUGGUGCAUGGUUGUCGUCAGCUCGUGUCGUGAGAUGUUGGGUUAAGUCCCGCAACGAGCGCAACCCUUGUCUUAUGUUGCCAGCAUUUGGUUGGGGACUCAUGAGAGACUGCCGGGGUUAACUCGGAGGAAGGUGGGGAUGACGUCAAAUCAUCAUGCCCCUUAUGUCCAGGGCUUCACACAUGCUACAAUGGUCGGUACAACGCGUUGCGACACUGUGAGGUGGAGCGAAUCGCUGAAAGCCGGCCUUAGUUCGGAUUGGGGUCUGCAACUCGACCCCAUGAAGUCGGAGUCGCUAGUAAUCGCAGAUCAGCAAUGCUGCGGUGAAUACGUUCCCGGGCCU